rnacentral:SRP_RNA from 2 species
GCUGGGUGUGGUGGCGCAUGCCUGUAAUCCCAGCUACUCAGGAGGCUGAGGCAGGAGAAUCGCUUGAACCCAGGAGGCAAAGAUUGCAGUGAGCCAAGAUUGCGCCACUGCACUCCAGCCUGGAUAACAGAGCAAGACUCUGUCUCAA